rnacentral:rRNA from 1 species
GACGGAGGAUGCAAGCGUUAUCCGGAAUGAUUGGGCGUAAAGCGUCCGCAGGUGGCCGUUCAAGUCUGCUGUCAAAGACCGGGGCUUAACUUCGGAAAGGCAGUGGAAACUGAACAGCUAGAGUAUGGUAGGGGCAGAGGGAAUUCCUGGUGUAGCGGUGAAAUGCGUAGAGAUCAGGAAGAACAUCGGUGGCGAAGGCGGUUCUCUGGGACGGUACUGACGCUGAGACGCGAAAGCGUGGGGAGCGAACAGG